GGUUAAGCGACUAAGCGUACACGGUGGAUGCCCUGGCAGUCAGAGGCGAUGAAGGGCGUGCUAAUCUGCGAUAAGCGCCGGUAAGGUGAUAUGAACCGUUAUAACCGGCGAUACCCGAAUGGGGAAACCCAGUGUGACUCGUCACACUAUCAUUAACUGAAUCCAUAGGUUAAUGAGGCGAACCGGGGGAACUGAAACAUCUAAGUACCCCGAGGAAAAGAAAUCAACCGAGAUUCCCCCAGUAGCGGCGAGCGAACGGGGAGGAGCCCAGAGCCUGAAUCAGCAUGUGUGUUAGUGGAAGCGUCUGGAAAGGCGCGCGAUACAGGGUGACAGCCCCGUACACAAAAGCGCAUGUGCUGUGAGCUCGAUGAGUAGGGCGGGACACGUGGUAUCCUGUCUGAAUAUGGGGGGACCAUCCUCCAAGGCUAAAUACUCCUGACUGACCGAUAGUGAACCAGUACCGUGAGGGAAAGGCGAAAAGAACCCCGGCGAGGGGAGUGAAAAAGAACCUGAAACCGUGUACGUACAAGCAGUGGGAGCACCCUUUGGGGUGUGACUGCGUACCUUUUGUAUAAUGGGUCAGCGACUUAUAUUCUGUAGCAAGGUUAACCGAAUAGGGGAGCCGGAGGGAAACCGAGUCUUAACCGGGCGUUAAGUUGCAGGGUAUAGACCCGAAACCCGGUGAUCUAGCCAUGGGCAGGUUGAAGGUUGGGUAACACUAACUGGAGGACCGAACCGACUAAUGUUGAAAAAUUAGCGGAUGACCUGUGGCUGGGGGUGAAAGGCCAAUCAAACCGGGAGAUAGCUGGUUCUCCCCGAAAGCUAUUUAGGUAGCGCCUCGUGAAUUCAUCUCCGGGGGUAGAGCACUGUUUCGGCUAGGGGGCCAUCCCGGCUUACCAACCCGAUGCAAACUGCGAAUACCGGAGAAUGUUAUCACGGGAGACACACGGCGGGUGCUAACGUCCGUCGUGAAGAGGGAAACAACCCAGACCGCCAGCUAAGGUCCCAAAGUCAUGGUUAAGUGGGAAACGAUGUGGGAAGGCCCAGACAGCCAGGAUGUUGGCUUAGAAGCAGCCAUCAUUUAAAGAAAGCGUAAUAGCUCACUGGUCGAGUCGGCCUGCGCGGAAGAUGUAACGGGGCUAAACCAUGCACCGAAGCUGCGGCAGCGACACUCAGGUGUUGUUGGGUAGGGGAGCGUUCUGUAAGCCUGUGAAGGUGGCCUGUGAGGGUUGCUGGAGGUAUCAGAAGUGCGAAUGCUGACAUAAGUAACGAUAAAGCGGGUGAAAAGCCCGCUCGCCGGAAGACCAAGGGUUCCUGUCCAACGUUAAUCGGGGCAGGGUGAGUCGACCCCUAAGGCGAGGCCGAAAGGCGUAGUCGAUGGGAAACGGGUUAAUAUUCCCGUACUUGGUGUUACUGCGAAGGGGGGACGGAGAAGGCUAUGUUGGCCGGGCGACGGUUGUCCCGGUUUAAGCGUGUAGGUGUGUGUUCCAGGUAAAUCCGGUUCACUUUAACACUGAGGCGUGAUGACGAGGCACUACGGUGCUGAAGCAACAAAUGCCCUGCUUCCAGGAAAAGCCUCUAAGCAUCAGGUAACAUCAAAUCGUACCCCAAACCGACACAGGUGGUCAGGUAGAGAAUACCAAGGCGCUUGAGAGAACUCGGGUGAAGGAACUAGGCAAAAUGGUGCCGUAACU
rnacentral:rRNA from 1 species